CAGUAGCCGCGGGAAUACGAAGGGUGCAAGCGUUACUCGGAAUUACUGGGCGUAAAGCGUGCGUAGGCGGUGAGUUAAGUCUGCUGUGAAAUCCCCGGGCUCAACCUGGGAAUGGCAAUGGAUACUGGCAAGCUAGAGUGUGUCAGAGGAUGGUGGAAUUCCCGGUGUAACGGUGAAAUGCGUAGAGAUCGGGAGGAACAUCAGUGGCGAAGGCGGCCCCCUGGACAAAGACUGACGCUCAGGUGCGAAAGCGUGGGGAGCAAACAGGAUUAGAUACCCCAGUAGUCCCUGUCUCUUAUAC
rnacentral:rRNA from 1 species